rnacentral:rRNA from 1 species
CCUAGUAAGUACAAGUCACUAGCUUGUGCUGAUUACGUCCCUGCCCUUUGUACACACCGCCCGUCGCUACUACCGAUUGAAUGGCUUAGUGAGGCCCUCGGAUUGAGGCUCGGAGACUGGCAACAGACUCUUGGUUUUGAAAAGUUGGUCAAACUUGGUCAUUUAGAGGAAGUAAAAGUCGUAACAAGGUUUCCGUAGGUGAACCUGCGGAAGGAUCAUUACCAAUUUUUAGCGGACCUGAUCUUUGAUCAUGGUCUCGCGAAAACUUGUAUUUAAAACCCCACUCUUAUAAAUUGAAUCAUUUUUUAUAUUGUAUAAUAAAUAAAGAUCACUUUCAACAACGGAUCUCUUGGCUCUCGCAUCGAUGAAGAACGUAGCGAAGUGCGAUAAGUAGUGUGAAUUGCAGAAUUCCGUGAAUCAUCGAAUUUUUGAACGCAAAUUGCACUCCCUGGCAUUCCGGGGAGUAUGCCUGUUUGAGGGUCAGUUCAAAUAAAAUCGACUUGUCGCUUUUGUGACAUUUUGGAAUUGGGUUGUCUUAACUUUUAGGUUAAGAGGCCUGAAAUUGAUAUUUUUUUUGCGCAUCCUAGACGUGUAUAAAUCGCUUAUCCGUUUUUGGGUGUUAAUUUUUUUAUUAGGUAUGGUCACUUUGCAUGAUCUCGUACCCUAUAAUUUUUUCAUGAUUUGAUCUCAAAUCAAGGUAGGAGUACCCGCUGAACUUAAGCAUAUCAAUAAGCGGAGGAAAGAAAAUAACAAUGAUUCCCCUAGUAACUGCGAGUGAAGAGGGAUUAAGCUCAAAUUUUAAAUCUGUCCAGGUGUUACCUGAACCGAGUUGUAAUUUGAAGAAGCCGUUUUCUGCCGCGUUCUGGGCCAGUCCUAAGUUCCUUGGGAACCAGGGGCAUCAUGUAGGGUGAAGAAUCCCGGGUUGGUAUUGUUCAAGCUGCGUUUUAUUGAUAACGCCUUCAAAGAGUCCAGUUGCUUUGGGCCAUUGCCAGCUUAAAUUGGAAGCUAUUUUCUCUAAGGGCUUAAAUACCGGCGAGAGACGAUUGGCACCAGUAACCGUG